UACAGAGGUCUCAAGCGUUGUUCGGAUUCAUUGGGCGUAAAGGGUGCGUAGGUGGCGUCGUAAGUCAGGUGUGAAAUUUCGGAGCUUAACUCCGAAACUGCAUUUGAUACUGCGGUGCUUGAGGACUGGAGAGGAGACUGGAAUUUACGGUGUAGCAGUGAAAUGCGUAGAGAUCGUAAGGAAGACCAGUGGCGAAGGCGGCCUGCUGGACCCGAUCUGACGCUGAGGCGCGAAAGCCAGGGGAGCGAACGGG
rnacentral:rRNA from 1 species